rnacentral:rRNA from 1 species
UCGACGGCAGCACGGGUGCUUGCACCUGGUGGCGAGUGGCGAACGGGUGAGUAAUAUAUCGGAACGUACCUUAUUGUGGGGGAUAACGCAGCGAAAGCUGUGCUAAUACCGCAUAAUCCCUAAGGGGGAAAGCGGGGGACCGUAAGGCCUCGCGCAAUUAGAGCGGCCGAUACCUGAUUAGCUAGUUGGUGAGGUAAAGGCUCACCAAGGCAACGAUCAGUAGCUGGUCUGAGAGGACGAUCAGCCACACUGGGACUGAGACACGGCCCAGACUCCUACGGGAGGCAGCAGUGGGGAAUUUUGGACAAUGGGGGCAACCCUGAUCCAGCAAUGCCGCGUGAGUGAAGAAGGCCUUCGGGUUGUAAAGCUCUUUUGUCAGGGAAGAAACAGCAGCUCUAACACAGUCUGCGAAUGACGGUACCUGAAGAAUAAGCACCGGCUAACUACGUGCCAGCAGCCGCGGUAAUACGUAGGGUGCAAGCGUUAAACGGAAUUACUGGGCGUAAAGCGUGCGCAGGCGGUUAUGUAAGACAGGCGUGAAAUCCCCGGGCCUAACCUGGGAAUUGCGCUUGUGACUGCAUAGCUAGAGUAUGUCAGAGGGGGGUAGAAUUCCACGUGUAGCAGUGAAAUGCGUAGAGAUGUGGAGGAAUACCAAUGACGAAGGCAGCCCCCUGGGAUAA